GCGGGGGUAGCCAAGCCAGGUCAAAGGCGCCAGACUCAAGAUCUGGUCUCGAAGGGGUUCGGGGGUUCGAAUCCCCUCCCCCGCACCA
rnacentral:tRNA from 1 species